CUACUGCUAUCGGGGUGGGACUAAGACAUGCAAGUUGAGCGUCUCUAAGCUAUGGUAGAGACGCGGCGUACGGCUCAGUAGCACGUGGCUAACCUACCCUUAGGACGGGGACAACCCCGGGAAACUGGGACUAAUAUCCGAUCGACUAGGAGGCCUGGAAUGGUUCUUAGUCAAAAAGGCGUUGAAACCAUGCUUUUCAACGUCGCCUAAGGAUGGGGCCGCGCCCGAUCAGGCUGUUGGUGGGGUAAUGGCUCACCAAACCUAUAACCGGUGCGGGCCGUGAGAGCGGGAGCCCGGAGAUGGGCACUGAGAUAAGGGCCCAGGCCCUACGGGGCGCAGCAGUCGCGAAAACUCCGCAAUGCGCGAAAGCGUGACGGGGCUACCCCGAGUGCCGUCCGCUGAGGAUGGCUUUUCCCCGGUGUAAUGAGCCGGGGGAAUAAGGAGAGGGCAAGUCUGGUGUCAGCCGCCGCGGUAAUACCAGCUCUCCGAGUGGUAGGGACGAUUAUUGGGCUUAAAGCGUCCGUAGCCGGCUUAGCAAGUCUCCUGUUAAAUUCAGCGACCUAAUCGUUGAGCCGCGGGAGAUACUACUAGGCUAGGAGGCGGGAGAGGCCGACGGUAUUCUCGGGGUAGGGGUGAAAUCCUAUAAUCCCGGGAGGACCACCAGUGGCGAAGGCUGUCGGCUAGAACGCGCUCGACGGUGAGGGACGAAAGCUGGGGGAGCGAACCGGAUUAGAUACCCGGGUAGUCCCAGCUGUAAACGAUGCGGGCU
rnacentral:rRNA from 1 species